GAAGUGUGUCUUGAAUGGAACAGGUGAGGCUUCCCAAGAUGAUGAUGGAUUGGCAACUGGAGGAUGUUCGAGGUAUACGACGGAGGGAACGAUGCCUUACUUCCUGGAUGGACGCUAUAGCCUGUGAUGCAGAGAGCACUGAAGUUCAAGAGCAAGAGAGGUGUUGACACAGAUGGCUCAGAACUGUAAUGCCUGGAGGGCUGUGGUGGUACAGUUGACAUAGAAAUGUAAAGUCGCAGGAGUGAGUGGUCCAAGAAUGGAAAGUGUUCAGAAAUAACACAAGCAGGGCAAAAAUUGGAGACUUUGGCCAGGAUCGUGGCAACAAGAUGCAACGUGGCCAACUGUUGGCAGCUCAAGACUGGAGCUAAGCAGGUCUGAUCAGGAUCAAGGUGGAAGAUGGUUACUGAGCAUGCAAGAGCAGCUUUGGAAGGUGGACAACUGAUGCACAACCUUGGAAUUUGUCCAAAAUGUCUAAAUCCUGAAUUUCACAAAACUGAGCUCCGAGUGGAACUUGAUGAAGGUGUUUCUGAACAUGAAAAGGCUUCGGGUGGUCAUAUAGUCAUAUAGGAUGAAUUAGCCAGAAACUUGGAAGUAAAAGUCACCGGGAUGCACAGAGAUCACAAGACAUGGCAGCAAUGACCACCAAUUUGUGCAGAGGCAUACAUGAACAGAUGGCUUGUGCUGAUGGGAGCAGAUGACUUUUGGGUGGAAGGAGAUGGCUGACAGAUGGAAACAGGCAGCUUACAUAUAGGAGCAGAUGGCGCAUGGAGGGGAGUAUUGUGCUCUGUAGUACAUGAUUUGAAAGGUUGUAAAUCUGCUUAUUGGAGUAAAGAUGUACAAUGGAAUAUCCA